AACUUCUCCCCAGCAGACUAAGGAAAAAUCAUCGCGCUUUAAAGAUCCUUAAGAAAAUAAAAGAAGUUCAUAAUUCUUGGGCAAAUAUUUGAACGGACAAUUGGACACUUGCGUCCUAAUAAAUAAAAUAAAAAUUUCGCAACGCAAAACCGACACAACAUCUAAAUCAAAUAUGAACUUGACACUAAAUGCGGUUCAAAAGAGAAAGUAGUGGAUGAUGUCAAGAGUUUUUAAAAAAAGGCCAACUGGUCCUUUGGCUUUCCGGCCACAAUUUCCCAAAACGGAUGCGUCUUUUACUGCAAAUAUUUAGAAAGAAGGACAUCUUAUGACUUUUUCACAACAGUGUCAAGGGCGUUUCACUUUUCUCGUCUUCCUUUUGUUAGGUUCGUUCUAUAACUUUGACAACUGGGGCCAGUCUAUAGACGUCAAAAGUCUUUGGGUAGUCGUCGCAAACGCAGCACAUUUUUACGUAGUCAAAAAGAUGCGUCUCUUCAGUCUGUUCUUCACGUUGUUGAUUCUUUUGGCGGCCUGCACUGGUUUGGAGAUUAAGAAAACCAUUUUGGACAAAAUUCCAGGUGCUGGAACUGACGAAAUGCGAAUUGGAGUAGCACCGGAUCGCAAGUGUCCUCGGCCAAAGCAAUUGGAUCUACAGGGAAACUGUCGCCAACCUUGGGGCCGCUGAAAAUGUUGAGUUUUGAAUUUCAAAAUGGCUUGGAGGAAUAUUGGAGUCGCUUCACCUACUACCCAGCAGUUAUAUUUACCCAGCACUGAAUACUAGCCAAUAUUUUAACCUCAUAAUCUUACUCGUCGGAAUAUUCGCUGAAAUAUAACGAAAGUGUGUUAUUAAUUUUUUUUUACUUUAAAAAGGUCGAUUAUAAGUUUCCAUGAAGCGUCGGCUGUAGGUUCGAUAAAUGGUGCGUGCCAUUCCAGGCCAAGGAUUUUUCAAGCACAAUAAGGCACCUGUUACAUCAUUAUUGUCUUUCAACUUCUCCCCCUUUGCAAAAAAGAUUUCCAUCCAGGAUGAAUUUGGCAAACAAAUAAUUAUUAGACAUAUAUUUACCUUUUCUCCUUGAACAGCAGACCAGAUUCCGUACAUUAGCCUCAUCGGCAUGCCGGGACAAAUUUCUGAUCCAGGGGCUGAGAGUGUUGGACUGAUGCAAAUGCCUCCCGUUUCCGUUUGCCAUCACCAAGUGUCCACAACAGCGCAUUUCUCUUUGCCCACAAUUUUGUUAUAAUACCAGUGCCAAGCUUCCACCUUGAUGAGUUCACCCUGAUAGCAAACUACCGUUGAAACGUGACUAUGUUUAAUUAAUAAUAAAAAUAAUUAUUAAUUAGCAGCCAUACCACAGAACCCAGAGUGCGGAGAGAGAUGAGAACAUAACUUUCAACAUACGCUGGACAAUCUCCCAAUAUCAACCUGUUGGGAAAACGAAAAUUAUGUAACGUCAGCAUUUGAGAUCAAAUGAAAAAUCAAAUCGAGACCUGG